rnacentral:lncRNA from 1 species
CCGCCCCUGCUGUAGCCUGCGUGGAAUGCCAGGUCGCCAGCCGCAGCUCGCAGGCAAUCACUCUUCCGCCUCAUCCCAGACCCUCCGUAGGCCCGCUUAGGAGGGGCCUACAUAGGCACGUACCGGCAUUAGCGCCCAUCCCACGUACUUACGUACGCACGCCACACGCACUUAAGCAGCGCGGUCGGCUCAGCCAAUCAGGCCUACAGGCAUGCAGGUACGCAUCUGGGUAGGAAGACACGCACUUGCGUAAACACGUACUUACGUCCGCCAAGCCGUGCUAGUAGAUACUCUUGGGCUUGGCGGGCCCUGUGGCUCGCAGGCCUAUCAGGCCAGCACCAGGGUUCAGGAUUCCGAAAGCUGGGGGGGAGUAGCAGGAGGAAAUUAAGCAGAGGAGAAGGAAGAGGCGGGAUGAGGCCGGGCAGCUUGUCAGGGAGGAGCUCAGGCUUAUCAGGCACAGGGCGGGGCCGCAGUUGUGAGGGAGUAACUGGGGCGGGGCUAUGAGUGCUGAGGUUGGCGGCGGUGCCGUGGGGCAGACUUCCGGGCUGCGAGUUGUGGUAGACUUGGGGGCGGGAUGUCAGCAAUGAGGUCAUCGUCUGGGGCGGGGCUUUGGUGGCGGAGGGUUGGCCCUAGGUAGCCUAGGGGGCGGGCAGUGACGUCCGCUGUAGCGAAGGGGCGGGCCUGAAGGAGCUGGGCGGGGCUUGAGUGCUGAGGGGGGUCUUGGGCGUGGUCGUACGGGGUUGGGUCGGGCCUGAGUGCUGAAGUGAUGUUUGGGGCGGGGCUGUCUGGGUGAAGCCGGUGGGCGGAGGUCAGAUCCUCUUGGGGGCGCGGCCUUGAGUUCUGAAGCCCUUUGCGGUGGGGUUGAACUGGGGGUUGGAGGCGGGGCUAAGGGCGGAGUAAGGCGGAGCCUGAGUGCUGAGGUCGAAUUGGGGACGAGCUGUGGGGGAGCAGAGCACUGGGGGGGGGGCUGAUUGCUGAGGCCAUCAUUGGGGCGGGGCUAAAUGCUUAGUAUUUGGGCUGGGGCUGUGGUGAAGCAGCUAGACCGGUGGUGAGGUAAGGUUGGAGCUGGGUCCUGGAGCUCUGACAGUGGGGUGAGGGCGGGGCUAAGGGUGUGAGGGUUAGGAGUGAAGCUGUGGCGUAGCGGGCUGGGGCUGUGAGUGCUGCGGCAUAUGAGCAGGGCUGAGGGAGCUCAGCUAGUUAGGGGCCGAGCUCGGUAGCAGGGCGGGGCUGUGAGUGCUGUUCUGUGGGCGGGGCUAAGGGUGUGAGAGGGCUGGAGCUGAGUGCUGUUGUGUUGGGGCCGUGGCUAGGGUGCUGAGUUAGGGGUGGAGCUGUGGGGGUAGCAGGGCGGGGCUGAGUGCUGUGGUACUGGGGGCGGGGCUGAGCGUGUUGGAGUUAGGGGCGGAGCUCCGGGUAGCGGGGCGGGGCUGUAAGUGCUGUGCCAUUGGCUUCUAGGGUGCGAUUUAGGGGCAGGGCUGCGGGUAGCAGGGCGGUGCCGCGUGCCUCUGUGGGAGUUUGGGGCCAGGCUCCGGCAUCGGGCGGAGCUGAGAGUGUGCUGAGGGCGGUGACAGUGGGGCUGUGCGAGGGGCGGAGGAGCCCAAGGGAGAGCCUAGGCUGCUGUGGGAACGCGCUGGGUCUAAGACCCUGCCUGAGCCGCGGGGUGGCUCGUGAGAAAUUGCCGGGGGAGGGCCGAGUGGGGGGCGGAGCCCGAGGGAGAAAGGAAGGAAAGGGGAAUAAGGAAAGUAUGAAGAUGGGUUCCCCCGAGAAUGGUACCGUACCGCAAACAACUACAGUAAGAAUGGAUAAAAAGGCGGAAGUCGGCAACAACAAAGCCAGUCUUGAAGGCCAGUUCCUUCCCAAGGGCAAUUCUGGUUGGAUGUUGGAUCUGUACCUUCCCAAGUAUUGUGACUUCCAAAGGUGGGGCUUUGGGGAGGUGAUUGGAUGAUGGAGUGUGACACUCAUCAAUGGAGCAUGGCCUGGAUAUAUAUCUCUUCCCUCCUCCGUUGCCCACUCUCUGCUUCCUGACACCAUGCCAUGAGCUGUUUCUCCUCUGCGGUGCCCCUCUGCCAUGCUGCCUUGCUUUGG